UGAUUGCUGCGAGGUGACCUGGUGCCUUUGAAGCUGGGUCUUGAUGCUGCUACCCCUUUCUGGGUGUCACGGCCACUUGCAGUUAGCCUCCAUCCGGCGCCUUCCAAUGGGCGCGGGAGGACAAAGAAGCNCCCCCCGUGUUCCACCGAGCCUUUCAUCGGACGCGUGGCCCACGGGGGAGUGCAAAGCUCUUGGACCCAGCGUAUGCCGUGGACGGGGACUCACGUCCCAGUCCCGAGAGGAGCUUAAGAUAUAACGGGUGACGGCCGCUCUCGCCCCAGGACCGCAUCGGCGGCGGGGGUCGGGGCGCGGCGUCGUGGAGGAAUGCUACCUGGUUGAUCCUGCCAGU
rnacentral:misc_RNA from 1 species